rnacentral:rRNA from 1 species
UACGGAGGGUGCAAGCGUUAUCCGGAUUCACUGGGUUUAAAGGGAGCGCAGGCGGUUUUGUAAGCCAGAUGUGAAAGCCCCGGGCUUAACCUGGGAAUGGCAUUUGGGACUGCAAGGCUUGAGUGCGGCAGAGGAGACUGGAAUUCCCGGUGUAGCAGUGAAAUGCGUAGAUAUCGGGAGGAAUACCGAUGGCGAAGGCAGGUCUCUGGGCCACUACUGACGCUGAGAAGCGAAAGCAUGGGGAGCGAACAGG